GACGAACGCUGGCGGCGUGCUUAACACAUGCAAGUCGAACGGAAAGGCCCUGCUUUUGUGGGGUGCUCGAGUGGCGAACGGGUGAGUAACACGUGAGUAACCUGCCCUUGACUUUGGGAUAACUUCAGGAAACUGGGGCUAAUACCGGAUAGGAGCUCCUGCUGCAUGGUGGGGGUUGGAAAGUUUCGGCUGUUGGGGAUGGACUCGCGGCUUAUCAGCUUGGUGGUGGGGUAGGGGCUUACCAAGGCUUUGACGGGUAGCCGGCCUGAGAGGGUGACCGGCCACAUUGGGACUGAGAUACGGCCCAGACUCGUACGGGAGGCAGCAGUGGGGAAUAUUGCACAAUGGGCGGAAGCCUGAUGCAGCAACGCCGCGUGCGGGAUGACGGCCUUCGGGUUGUAAACCGCUUUCGCCUGUGACGAAGCGUGAGUGACGGUAAUGGGUAAAGAAGCACCGGCUAACUACGUG
rnacentral:rRNA from 1 species